AACGAACGCUGGCGGCAGGCUUAACACAUGCAAGUCGAGCGCCCCGCAAGGGGAGCGGCAGACGGGUGAGUAACGCGUGGGAAUCUACCUUUCUCUGCGGAACAACUCCGGGAAACUGGAGCUAAUACCGCAUACGCCCUUUGGGGGAAAGAUUUAUCGGGGAAAGAUGAGCCCGCGUUGGAUUAGCUAGUUGGUGGGGUAAAGGCCUACCAAGGCGACGGUCCAUAGCUGGUCUGAGAGGAUGAUCAGCCACAUUGGGACUGAGCACACGGCCCAAACUCCUACGGGAGGCAGCAGUGGGGAAUAUUGGACAAUGGGCGCAAGCCUGAUCCAGCCAUGCCGCGUGAGUGAUGAAGGCCCUAGGGUUGUAAAGCUCUUUCACCGGAGAAGAUAAUGACGGUAUCCGGAGAAGAAGCCCCGGCUAACUUCGUGCCAGCAGCCGCCGUAAAAC
rnacentral:rRNA from 1 species